GUGGGGAAUUUUGGACAAUGGGGGCAACCCUGAUCCAGCCAUGCCGCGUGCGGGAAGAAGGCCUUCGGGUUGUAAACCGCUUUUGUCCGGAAAGAAAAGGCAUCCCCUAAUACGGGGUGUCCUUGACGGUACCGGAAGAAUAAGCACCGGCUAACUACGUGCCAGCAGCCGCGGUAAUACGUAGGGUGCGAGCGUUAAUCGGAAUUACUGGGCGUAAAGCGUGCGCAGGCGGUUCGCUAAGUCUGAUGUGAAAGCCCCGGGCUCAACCUGGGAACUGCAUUGGAAACUGGCGAGCUUGAGUGUGGCAGAGGGGGGUGGAAUUCCACGUGUAGCAGUGAAAUGCGUAGAGAUGUGGAGGAACACCGAUGGCGAAGGCAGCCCCCUGGGCUAACACUGACGCUCAGGCACGAAAGCGUGGGGAGCAAACAGGAUUAGAUACCCUAGUAGUCC
rnacentral:rRNA from 1 species